GAUUAAAGGAAGUUUAAUUGGGCUUUGCAAGAGUGGGCUGAUUUUAGCUUGUGUGAGCAAUUCACUAGCUAUCAUUAUUUGACAAGGAUUCGGCUAGGGAUUAAAGAUAUAAAAGCCGAACUUUGGCUUUUGCAAAGAGAGAGCCGCCAGAAGGGAGAGCUGCAGACGCAAGGAUUCAAGACAGAGAAGAAAAUCUGCAGCAAUUCGGCUUUCCCAUGGCUGAAUUUAUUUAUUUUGUUGCUCCCAAUUCAAGUAUGUCUAGCUAAUUUUCUUAGGCUCGGCUAUCCUCCCUAGCCGAGCCAGAAAAAAAAAAUAAAAUAGAUUAGAUAUAACUGAGUUGAAAAGAAAGGAAAAAGCCUGCUGUACCGUACAUCCGCCUUGGCCGUACAGCAGGGUGGAUUCUGAAACCUUGGUAAUUUUUAUCUUAUUGAAUUCUCCUUUAUUUUAAUUUCCUUAGUUUAAUUGGUUUAAUUUUCUUAAAAACUCAAUUUGCUCAACUAGGUUAGGAUUAAUAUCAAUAUUAGAUUUAAAUUAGACUUUUCAAUUUAUAACAAUCCAUGUGGUUCGACCUCGUUACCACUAUUCUAAUUUUAGAUUCAUGCGCUUGCGAGUAUAUUAAAAUUUUUCACAACAAUGUCAAAGUGUUAUAGGAAUAACGUUCCAGUCCGCACUUUGCUUGUUGCCUAUAUAGUUAUUAUAUCAAUGAGUUCAUGUCCCUUGGUAAUAGAAGCAAGAAUUCUGAAUUUCUCAACUAUCCGAGGUGUGAAACUAAUUAAGAACAUGAAAUUUUUUUAUCCAAUUAAUUGAAGAACAUUAAUUUUAUAUAUCCUUCCACUAUUUUUGUAUUUUUGUUUUUCUGCUGUACCGUACAUCCGCCUUUGACUCUUUGUUAUUCAAUAUGUUUACAUGAGAUUCUUAGAUGUCAUAUUAUUAAGCAGAAAAAGAACCUACAUUAGAUUUAAUUACUUGGGCUUAAUUGUUAUAUCCAUGAGAUGACAUAGAUUGAUUUCGAGUUGUCACUCUAAAAUUGGGGAUUAAUUAAUAAUUAGAUAAUUACUAGUUGAAUAGUGGUGGAUUCUGAAACCUUGGUAAUUUUUAUCUUAUUGAAUUCUCCUUUAUUUUAAUUGCUUCCUUAGUUUAAUUGGUUUAAUUUUCUUAAAAACUCAAUUUGCUCAACUAGGUUAGAAUUAAUAUUAAUUUUAGAUUUAAAUUAGACUUUUCAAUUUAUAACAAUCCCUGUGGGAUCGAUCUCGUUACCACUAUUCUAUCUCUAGAUUCGUGCGCUUGCGAGUACAUUAAAAUUUUCACAACACCCAGCAUUCGACACUGGCUCUGUAUCAUCACCAAAUUCCCAUUUCCAGUAAUUCAAAUUCCAGUUGAGGGUGUUGAGAUGGCCGAUGACGUAGCACUAGCUACAAUUGUUUUCUUUUGACCAGAAGCUUUAUCAUUCGCGCCGCAUGCAGUGUCAUUCUGGUUGAAGGCCUCGAGAUGGCUGAUGAAGUAGCACUGCCGGCUACUACCUUCAACACAGACCUACCACCCUGCAAUGUCAUUCUGGUUUAAGGCGAAGAAUCACUGGCUUCAUCAUUAUCAUUCACCACAGAAAUAGCACUCGUAGCCACAUUAGUUUUCCUUAUAUCAGAAGCAACAUUUUCUAACAUAUACUUGAGAAGAUAUUAUAGUGUGUCCAUCUUUUUCACUUUUUCGUCUAUAGUAAUCAGACAAUUUGCCUCAUCUCCCUGCCCUGAUCCUACCACAGAGAUCUUGAAUAGCCUUAUCAAGUUUCAAUGAGCUGAGAAUUUCAAUCACAUCUUCAUAGAUUCCUUUCACCACCCCAUAGCUUCUACUGAAGAAUUCAUAUCCAUUGACGAAACCAUGAACCCUCAUGUGCAACCCCAUAGAGCAAGAGAAGAUCCAUUGACAUCUUCUUAGAUAAAUCCAUUGCACUGCCUUUCCUGCAAGCAAGCAAACAAACAGCCCAGCAAACAGAGAAGGGAAUUCUUUUAAAUUACCUGGCUUGAAGAUUUUUACAAAUACGGUCCCAAAGAUUCAUGAGUCCUCUUCCAUGGAUGUAGUUGGUAGAAACUUGUCUAUAAUUCUUGUCUUGUAUUAUCUAAUACACUGAUAGCGUUUGCAAUUUCAAACUUACCUGGCUCCAUAAAUCUGUCAAACCAGAUGUUUCUGAUAACUGCAUUUCCUUCUCCAUACGCUCUUGUAAACAAACAAGCACUUCUGCUGGCUCAUAGUAGAUAAUACAUGACAAGAAGAACCAAGGAGAAAGC
rnacentral:lncRNA from 1 species